AUUGAACGCUGGCGGCAGGCCUAACACAUGCAAGUCGAGCGGAUGAAGGGAGCUUGCUCCUGGAUUCAGCGGCGGACGGGUGAGUAAUGCCUAGGAAUCUGCCUGGUAGUGGGGGAUAACGUCCGGAAACGGGCGCUAAUACCGCAUACGUCCUGAGGGAGAAAGGGGGGGAUCUUCGGACUUCACGCUAUCAGAUGAGCCUAGGUCGGAUUAGCUAGUUGGUGGGGUAAAGGCCUACCAAGGCGACGAUCCGUAACUGGUCUGAGAGGAUGAUCAGUCACACUGGAACUGAGACACGGUCCAGACUCCUACGGGAGGCAGCAGUGGGGAAUAUUGGACAAUGGGCGAAAGCCUGAUCCAGCCAUGCCGCGUGUGUGAAGAAGGUCUUCGGAUUGUAAAGCACUUUAAGUUGGGAGGAAGGGCAGUAAGUUAAUACCUUGCUGUUUUGACGUUACCAACAGAAUAAGCACCGGCUAACUUCGUG
rnacentral:rRNA from 1 species